CAUGUCAAGUCGAACGCUCGUGGCAACACGGGAGUGGCGGACGGGUGAGUAACGCGUGGGAACGUGCCCUGAGGUUGGGAAUAACUGCGGGAAACUGCAGCUAAUACCUGAUGAGCCCCGAGAGGGGGAAAGAUUUAUCGCCUUGGGAGCGGCCCGCGUCGGAUUAGCUAGUUGGUGGGGUAACGGCCUACCAAGGCUUCGAUCCGUAGCUGGUCUGAGAGGACGAUCAGCCACACUGGGACUGAGACACGGCCCAGACUCCUACGGGAGGCAGCAGUGAGGAAUCUUCCACAAUGGGGGCAACCCUGAUGGAGCAACGCCGCGUGCAGGAUGAAGGCCUUCGGGUUGUAAACUGCUUUUGUACAGAACGAAAAAGUCUUUAAUAACACUAGAGGCUCAUGACGGUACUGUAAGAAUAAGCACCGGCUAACUACGUGCCAGCAGCCGCGGUAAUACGUAGGUGGCAAGCGUUAUCCGGAAUUACUGGGCGUAAAGCGCACGCAGGUGGCUGCUUAAGUCUGACGUGAAAGCUCCUGGCUUAACUGGGAGAGGUCGUUGGAGACUGGGCGGCUUGAGGCGAGGAGAGGGGUGUAGAAUUCCCGGUGUAGUGGUGGAAUGCGUAGAGAUCGGGAGGAAUACCAGUGGCGAAAGCGGCACCCUGGCCUUGGCCUGACGCUCAGGUGCGAAAGCGUGGGGAGCGAACGGGAUUAGAUACCCCGGUAGUCCACGCGGUARACGAUGAAUACUAGGUGUAGGUGGUCUCAAAACUAUCUGUACCGCAGCUAACGCGAUAAGUAUUCYGYCUGGGGGAGUACGAACCGYAAGGUUAAAAACYUCAAAGG
rnacentral:rRNA from 1 species